rnacentral:rRNA from 1 species
AUACGGGGGGUGCAAGCGUUAAUCGGAAUUACUGGGCGUAAAGGGUCCGUAGGCGGCGGGGCGUGUCGGUUGUGAAAUCUCCCGGCUUAACUGGGAGGGUGCGACCGAAACUGUUCCGCUGGAGGGCCGGAGAGGCGAGUGGAAUUGCUGGUGUAGCGGUGAAAUGCGUAGAGAUCAGCAGGAACACCGGAGGCGAAGGCGGCUCGCUGGACGGCACCUGACGCUGAGGGACGAAAGCUAGGGGAGCAAACAGGAUUAGAAACCCCGGUAGUCC